GGGGGGGGAACGGCGGAGGACUGACUGUGGUUGCUGUGGUGACAGCAAUGACUGCUGGGUUCCUUUCUCUCUCUCCUUCCUUACCUGGUAAGAGCUCGUGGCAGAGACAUCAAAGCCUGGACUAGACAAGAUGUAAUCUCAGAAACACACCAAGGGUGAAUGAAACAAGGCAGCACACGCCGAUGCUCGAACCGCCACGUGGAAGUCUCAGUGUUCAACUGCGAAGCCCAGAGCAGGGAAGACACACAGAUCCAGGAGAGAGAGUGGAGUGUGGGACAGGAAGAGAAGGAGUGUACGUUUCUGCUUUACUGUUCAUCUACGUUUCUUGACUACUAUGUGAGGGAAGCCAUGCCUAUCUUGUGCUUAGCAAGGGGGAGUGACAGUUGGUUAACUCGGCAGAGCUGUGUGAUUGGUUUUGCAGCUUUAUUCUUUUCGUUAUUGUUAUCCACAAUCCCACAAGUCUGUAGAAGAAACUUAUUUUCCCGUUUGAGUAUCUCAAAGGCCUUUAAUGUAGCUGAAAGUGCACCAAAACCUGAACACAGAAGAAAAAUUCUACAACCCAAAUACCUGCUGUAGGGUCUAUUUUCACUGGUUAUGAUUUAAAUUUUUUUUGAAAUAGGGUCUCGUGUAGCGCAGGCUAGCCUCCACCGCGCUUCAUAGCUGAGGAUGACCUUGAACUUUUUAUUCUCCUGCCUCCACACCUCCCUCGCGUGCCAUCACCCUGACUUUAUAGAUCUGCUCCUAGGCAGAAAAUCUGGGGCUUCACACACACUAAGCAAGUGCUUUCCCAGGCAUCUCAACCCCCUUUAAUAGUUUUUUAACUUUUGUUUUAAAAAAGUGUUUUAUUAAUUCUACCUUUGUACAAAAACCAAGGAAGACAUCUGUCCAAUUACCACAAAGAAAGGGGCUUAUCAGACUUGGAGUCUAAGCACAUACUAAUAUUCAUUUAUUGUGUCAACAGUAGUUGUGUAUGAUUCAGGGAGUCAAGCAGUCUUUGCUGGCUGAGAACCUGCUUUGUAGCUGAGACUGGCCUUGAACUCACGAUCCUUCUGUCUCCAACUACAGGUGCUAGGAUUGCUGAUGUAUGCCAUUAGGUCCAGUUUUGAUUUUGUUUGUUGAGGUAUGGCCUCCUUCUUGUAAUCCUCCUGUCUCAGUCUCCUGAGUGUC